rnacentral:rRNA from 1 species
UACGGAGGGUGCAAGCGUUGUUCGGAAUCAUUGGGCGUAAAGCGCGUGUAGGCGGCCUACUAAGUCUGAUGUGAAAGCCCGGGGCUCAACCCCGGAAGUGCAUUGGAUACUGGUUGGCUAGAGGGCGAGAGAGGGAAGUGGAAUUCCGGUGUAGGGGUGAAAUCCGUAGAUAUCAGGAGGAACAUCAGUGGCGAAGGCGGCUUCCUGGCUCGCUUCUGACGCUGAGACGCGAAAGCAUGGGUAGCAAACAGG